UACGUAGGGACCAAGCGUUGUUCGGAUUUACUGGGCGUAAAGGGCGCGUAGGCGGUCAGUGCAAGUCAGUUGUGAAAUCUCCGAGCUUAACUCGGAAAGGUCAACUGAUACUGCUCGACUAGAGUGCGGAAGGGGCAACUGGAAUUCUUGGUGUAGCGGUGAAAUGCGUAGAUAUCAAGAGGAACACCUGCGGCGAAGGCGGGUUGCUGGGCCGACACUGACGCUGAAGCGCGAAAGCGUGGGGAGCGAACAGG
rnacentral:rRNA from 1 species